AUUGAACGCUGGCGGCAGGCCUAACACAUGCAAGUCGAGCGGAUGAAGGGAGCUUGCUCCUGGAUUCAGCGGCGGACGGGUGAGUAAUGCCUAGGAAUCUGCCUGGUAGUGGGGAUAACGUCCGGAAACGGGCGCUAAUACCGCAUACGUCCUGAUGGAGAAAGCGGGGGAUCUUCGGACCUCACGCUAUCAGAUGAGCCUAGGUCGGAUUAGCUAGUUGGUGGGGUAAAGGCCUACCAAGGCGACGAUCCGUAACUGAUCUGAGAGGAUGAUCAGUCACACUGGAACUGAGACACGGUCCAGACUCCUACGGGAGGCAGCAGUGGGGAAUAUUGGACAAUGGGCGAAAGCCUGAUCCAGCCAUGCCGCGUGUGUGAAGAAGGUCUUCGGAUUGUAAAGCACUUUAAGUUGGGAGGAAGGGCAGUAAGUUAAUACCUUGCUGUUUUGACGUUACCAACAGAAUAAGCACCGGCUAACUUCGUG
rnacentral:rRNA from 1 species